rnacentral:lncRNA from 1 species
UGGAGUGGAGGCGGCGUCAUCGUGUCAACGACACGCGCGACUGGGCUGCUCCGGAGGUGAUCCGCAGGUUCUUCCCCCACGGCAGCUGCGGCGUCGAUCGGGGCGGCCACAGAGUUUACAUCUUCAACAUGGGUGGCCUAGACAUGAGAGGCCUGAUGCAGUGCGCGAGCCGGGUCGACCUCGUCCAGUUCGGUCUGCAGGUUCUGGAGA